GCCACCAUAGCUUAGUGGUUAGAGCUCUGGUCUUCUCAAUCAGGGGCCGUGAGUUCAACACUCACUGGUGGUU